UACGGGGGGGGCAAGCGUUGUUCGGAAUUACUGGGCGUAAAGGGCUCGUAGGUGGCCAACUAAGUCAGACGUGAAAUCCCUCGGCUUAACCGGGGAACUGCAUCCGAUACUGGAUGGCUUGAGUUCGGGAGAGGGAUGCGGAAUUCCAGGUGUAGCGGUGAAAUGCGUAGAUAUCUGGAGGAACACCGGUGGCGAAGGCGGCAUCCUGGACCGACACUGACGCUGAGGAGCGAAAGCCAGGGAGCAAACGGGG
rnacentral:rRNA from 1 species